UACUGUAUGCACAUGCCCAAAGACAUCAUAUCCAUCUGAUCUUGGAAGCUAAGCAGGGGCAUCCUUGGUUAGUAUUUGGAUGGGAGACCAUCAGUGAAUAAUCCCAGGUCCUGUAGGUU
rnacentral:rRNA from 11 species